UAGAAUAUGGUGUAAUGGUAGCACGAAGAAUUUUGAAUUCUUAGGUUUGGGUUCAAUUCCUAUUAUUCUAG
rnacentral:tRNA from 1 species